GACGAACGCUGGCGGCGUGCUUAACACAUGCAAGUCGAACGGUAAGGCCCUUUCGGGGGUACACGAGUGGCGAACGGGUGAGUAACACGUGGGUGAUCUGCCCUGCACUUUGGGAUAAGCCUGGGAAACUGGGUCUAAUACCGGAUAGGACUACGCGAUGCAUGUCGUGUGGUGGAAAGCUUUUGCGGUGUGGGAUGGGCCCGCGGCCUAUCAGCUUGUUGGUGGGGUGAUGGCCUACCAAGGCGACGACGGGUAGCCGGCCUGAGAGGGUGUCCGGCCACACUGGGACUGAGAGACGGCCCAGACUCCUACGGGAGGCAGCAGUGGGGAAUAUUGCACAAUGGGCGCAAGCCUGAUGCAGCGACGCCGCGUGGGGGAUGACGGCCUUCGGGUUGUAAACCCCUUUCAGCACAGACGAAGCGUAAGUGACGGUAUGUGCAGAAGAAGCACCGGCCAACUACGU
rnacentral:rRNA from 1 species